GGCUUCGUGGUCCAGUGGUAGGGACACUUCACCCUGGAGUCCUGGGUUCGAUCCCCAGUCGACGAGGUAG